rnacentral:misc_RNA from 1 species
UUUCCGUAGGUGGACCUGCGGAAGGAUCAUUAUUGUGUAACCGAGGUGCGAGGGCUGUCGCUGACCCGAAAGGUCGUGCACGCCCGAGUGCCCUCACACACAUUCAUCUCACCCCCAUGUGCACCACCGCGUGGGUCCCCCUUUGGCUUGUUCGGAGGGGGGCUUACGUUUUCACACAAACUUUGUAUGCAGUGUAGAAUGUAUUUUUUGUUUUUGCGAUCACGCAAUCAAUACAACUUUCAACAACGGAUCUCUUGGCUCUC